rnacentral:rRNA from 1 species
GGAGGGUGCGAGCGUUGUCCGGAAUCACUGGGCGUAAAGGGCGCGUAGGCGGCGCGGAUAGUCGGCGGUGAAAGCCCGGAGCUCAACUCCGGGUCGGCCGUCGAUACUUCCGGGCUUGAGCACUGUAGAGGCAGAUGGAAUUCCGGGUGUAGCGGUGGAAUGCGUAGAGAUCCGGAAGAACACCGGUGGCGAAGGCGGUCUGCUGGGCAGUUGCUGACGCUGAUGCGCGACAGCGUGGGGAGCAAACAGG